rnacentral:rRNA from 1 species
AAGGCCUUCGGGUUGUAAAGCUCUUUCAGCCGGAAAGAAAACGCACGGGUUAAUACCUUGUGUGGAUGACGGUACCGGAAGAAGAAGCACCGGCUAACUACGUGC